GUAGGCGUCAAAGAUAUGAAACUUGUGUAGAUGAUGAAAACAUGAAAAAUGUUACUUAUGCAACAUUCAAUUCAAGGAUACGUAGGCCGUUGAAAUACGGUCGCUGCUACACACCAAAAGCACAACGGAGAACCGGGAGAUAUUUCAGAAAGCGGCAGACACCUUCAUUUUACACCCCACCGUCCCACAUGUCUUAUAUAUAGACAUAAUGUGCAUGCCCUUAUGGAAAAGAAUCUCCAUUUUUUCAGAAAAUGAGGAUAGUUGUGGGUUCGAUCUCACUUUUUGUUCAUAUAUAUGUAUACUAGCCUUCACGCGCGUGCAUAAUGCAUUUUUUGAAUCACAAUGUGCUACGCACGACUUAUACGUUUUAAAUGUAUUUAUAUGCAUGAAUUGCUUCAAUAAUUUUUUUAUGACAAAAAGAAAGUCAAAUAUUUGAAGUAAAUGAAUAAUAUUAGACUAUGCUAUAAGAAACCUCUCAUAAACCAAUUAAAGCAGUUGAAUCCACAUAAUAAAAUCGGUCUUUCAAUUUCCAUCUACAUUCUAUUGAAUUUACAUUAGGGAUAAAGAAAAUAAUAUUUAAUAAACAACUGAUUGAAUCACAUUAUUGCUAGCACAUUGUGACAUUAAGCCCACCCGUUCACCCUUAGUGUAGAUAACAUCAUUUGUUAAAAAAAUAUAUAUAUAUUUGACAACUAAUUGAUUCACAUUAUUAUGCGUGUGUGAAAGACAUUUUUUAUAACUAGCACUACGCGUCUCUUAAGUGUUUAAAAAUAGAAAAAAUAAUAUUUAAUAAACAACUGAUUGAAUCACAUUAUUGUGCGCGUGCGAAAGACCUUUUUUAUUACCGGCGGUACUCGUCUCUUAAGAUAUUUUGAACGUGUUUUAAAAUAGAGAAAAUAAUAUUUAAUAAACAACUGAUUGAAUCACAUUAUUGGUAGCCUAUUGUGAGGCUAAGCCCAUCCCCCUCCCCCCUCAGUGUAGAUAAUAUCGUUUGUUCGGAAAAAAAAAUCAUUUGACAACUAAUUGAAUCACAUUAUUAUGCGUGUGCGAAAGACUAUUUUUAAAACCGGCACUACGCGCAUUUUAAGAUGUUUUGAACAUGUUUAAAAAUAGAGAAAAUAAUAUUUAAUAAACAACUAAUUGAAUCAUAUUAUUGUUAGCCCAUUGUGAAACUAAGCCCACCCCCCCUCUCCUUUAGUGUAGAUAUCACUUGUUAAAAAAAAUUAAUAAUAAUUUGACAACUAAUUGAAUCACAUUAUUAUACGCGUGUAAAAGACCUUUUUAUAACCGGCACCACACAUCUCUUAAGAUGUUUUGAAUGUGUUUAAAAAUAGAGAAAAUAAUAUUUAAUAAACAACUGAUUGAAUAACAUUAUCAAUAGUCUAUUGUGAGGUACUAAUUAUAAAAAUAAAAAUAAAAAAACUGUACACAAAGAAUUAAUUGUUAAAAAACAUUGUUUAUAUAACGAAAAUACCCCUGCAUUAUUUGGUGCAUUAUAUUGUUGCUUUUGAACUUUUUUUGUCUUGGGGACAUUUGUGUCUAAAAUUUUUUGGUGAAGCCGUGACUCCAAAUUGGGGCGCUAGCUUUAUAUAUGCAGAAGAUAUACAUAUAUAUUUGACAUACAUUGUGGGCUCGAUUGAUAUCCAAAUUUUGUUCAUUUUAAACAUUGUUCAAAAAAAUUAUUUAUUUAUUUAAUUAUUACGAUACAACAAAGAGUUCGUCAAUUUCUUUAAACUUAAUUAGAUGUCUCGAAUAUUUUCGAUUUGACUAAUAUUUUGUAAGAAUGAUUAAUGAGAUGUAACUUGAAAAAUAAAUAAUUUGAAUUCUUAAAGUUCAACUUGAUGUAGUCCCCAAACUAAUCUCCAUUUUUGUGAAAAAAUAAAGAUCCUUUAUCCUUAAGAUCGUUAAAAUUAUAAUCCUUUAUUUUAAAGAUCGUUGAAAUUCGAUCACACCUUUGUUUUUUUUAACAGAAUCUCACUUAAAUUUCUCCUGCAGCCAAACUAGGGCUGCACCGAAAUUCAACUAAAAGCAGUGGGGUGGGGUGUGCGGUACACCGCUGAUCUUCGGUUACGGACGCGUGUCCAACGACAGACCCUUGUGGCACGUGACGCCCGCCCCACUAUCCGUUGUUUUC
rnacentral:lncRNA from 1 species